GCCGGCGUAGCUCAGUGGUAGAGCAGCUGAUUCGUAAUCAGCAGGUCGAUGGUUCAAUCCCAUUCGCCGGCU
rnacentral:tRNA from 2 species